rnacentral:rRNA from 1 species
UACGAAGGGUGCAAACGUUGCUCGGAAUUAUUGGGCGUAAGCGCACGUAGGCGGCUUAGCAAGUCGGAUGUGAAAUCCCUCGGCUCAACCAAGGAAGUGCAUCCGAAACUGCAGAGCUUGAGUACUUAAGAGGAUCGCGGAAUUCCCGGUGUAGAGGUGAAAUUCGUAGAUAUCGGGAGGAACACCAGUGGCGAAGGCGGCGAUCUGGGAAGAUACUGACGCUGAGGUGCGAAAGCGUGGGGAGCAAACAGG